rnacentral:rRNA from 1 species
UACAGAGGUCUCGAGCGUUAGGCGGAAUCACUGGGCUUAAAGCGUGUGUAGGUGUAUCGGUAAGUACCUUGUGAAAUCCCACGGCUUAACCGUGGAACUGCUUGGUAUACUGGUCGUCUUGAGCCACUUAGGGGUUACCGGAACAAAUGGUGGAGCGGUGAAAUGCGUAGAUACCAGGAGGAACACCGGUGGCGAAGGCGGUUUCCUGGCCCAGUACUGACGCUGAGGCACGAAAGCGUGGGGAGCGAACGGG